GCCAAGGGACAGACUUUUAAAGCUUUUUAGGUGCCUGAAGAUGGGCUAAUAUUGUAGCCUAAAGCACUUUGUCCAAAGUCACCCAAGGACCUGAGCCAGAUGUCCUGAGUCCUAGGUGAAAACCCCAACCCUGGGCAUCCUUCCUGUGGCCCAUGGUCUGCUUCACACGCUACUGAGCAGUCAUCGGACAGUGGCAACGGUUCUCCACCCACCCAGUUUGGAUUCAGCUUGCACAUGCAACUCGGAUCAAGCUAUGGCCGUGCAAUGACAAAGAAACGUUCAUCCCCGAGAGAAGCGUGUAGAAUCCCUGCCCAGAACCAUCCUGGAAACGAGAAGAGAGAGUUUUAAAAACAAGACCGUGUGCAGCGCGAGCUCCCAGCCAGGUCCCUCUGCCAGCGUCUGGGCUGACCCUUGGGUUGAUCAGUAAUGCAUUCCUACAGGACACAUGCAUCCAUGUCCUUAGUCCAGCCUGCACGGAAGGGACAGAUUCCAUUGUCCAAAGUCUCAUUAGGCACGUUCCUGCUGACGCUGUUGCUUCCCCUUGAAAUAGGCUCCCCUCCCGUUCCUGCGGAGAGACACUCUCCCUCUCCACACUGUUAGUCUUUGCAGCCGAGCUUCACCUGGCGCCUUCCAUACAUUAAUAGAGCUUCCUUCCUGGUGUUCUGCAGCAGGAAGGCAAUUAAAGGGUUAACCACA